rnacentral:rRNA from 1 species
GACGAACGCUGGCGGCGUGCUUAACACAUGCAAGUCGAACGGAAAGGCCCUGCUUUUGUGGGGUGCUCGAGUGGCGAACGGGUGAGUAACACGUGAGUAACCUGCCCUGGACUUUGGGAUAACUUCAGGAAACUGGGGCUAAUACCGGAUAGGAGCUCCUGCUGCAUGGUGGGGUUCGGAAGUUUUGGGUGGUUGGGGCUGGAGUGCGGCGUUAUCGGCUUGUGGGUGGGGGGGUGGCUAACAAGGCGUUUGAGGGAUGGCCGGCCUGGGAGGUUAGCCGGCCACCUUGGGACUGGGAUAGGCCCCAGACUCCUACGGGAGGCAGCAGUGGGGAAUAUUGCACAGUGGGCGGACGCCUGAUGCAGCAACGCCGCGUGCGGGAUGACGGCCUUCGGGUUGUAAACCGCUUUCGGCUGUGACGAAGCGUGAGUGACGUUAAUGGGUAAAGAAGCACCGGCUAACUACGUG